rnacentral:tRNA from 1 species
GUCUCAGUGGCGUAGUGGUUAGCGCACGAUCCUCUGUUAGGCGCGAGACGCGAGUUCGAAUCCCGCCUAAGAUG